rnacentral:rRNA from 1 species
GACGGAGGAUGGCAAGUGUUAUCCGGAAUCACUGGGCGUAAAGCGUCUGUAGGUGGUUUAAAAAGUCCACUGUUAAAAAUUGAAGCUUAACUUCAAAGAUGCCGUGGAAACUUUUAAACUUGAGUAUGAUAGGGGUAGAGGGAAUUUCCAGUGGAGCGGUGAAAUGCGUAGAUAUUGGAAAGACCACCAAUGGCGAAGGCACUCUACUGGGCCAUUACUGACACUGAGAGACGAAAGCUAGGGGAGCGAAUGGG